AAAACUUCCGGGUCCGCUUUUUUGUUAAAUGGGAUCCCGAAAUACCCAUUUUUUCGACCCGCUAUAAAAACAUUCUAAACACCGCUUCUUCCCCACCACACAAACCCUAAUUUCAUUUUCAAUUAUCUCUGCCGUUCUUCUCUACCUCUCUUUCUGCCUUGAAUCACCCAUUCGUUUCUCUAAUCCAUAUCUCCUACAUCUUCUUAUCGCUUCUACUUCAGCAAUUCUACCUCAUCCAUACCUAAAUCUAUUUUCUUUGGAUCUUCUUCUCUUUGUAAUCAGAUGAUUCAAGCUUCAAGAAUCAGGUCGUCUCCAGAAUUCCAGCCGUCACUAUCAUAUGGAUCGGUUACUGAAAUUGUUUAAUUAGAUUUGGAAAUUAUUAGAUAAAGACAUGAUAGAGGUCGUGUUCUUUCCUGUUGUGAAUGGAAUUUCCAUCUUACAGUGCUGGAAGGAGAUCCUAUCUUAGUUUAAAGUGGGCUGAACGGGCUUGAAUUGUUGUUAACAAGAUUCCAGAUUGCAAGCAAUGGGUUUUGAAGUAUGUUGGGAGACUUGAGUACCAGAUAUGGAGACUUGAUUACCAACUCUGAACUUGCAGUUUUGUCAUUUGGCUGGUUACCAUGUUAUUUAGUGAAUAUUCUUUUGUAGUUUAGUCAAGCCAAAAUCUUCUGAAUCGUUCAAUUUCAUUUACUGUAGGAUUGAGCUACAUCUUCUACUUUUGAUCCAUCAUUUAGCUGUUAUAUAUAAUAGAUAUGUAAUAACUUAUUCAUCAUCAUGUUUUAAGUAAAUAGCAUGUUGCUUUCAAUUGUUAUUGUUCUAAUUAUGCAACUUAUAUGGUAAUUCAGAGCGGCCAUGUACUGUGUACCUAACCGUGUAUAUAGUUACUAACUUUUAAUCAGGUUUACUGUAAAUGCUUGACUUCUUUCUGACAUUGACACCCCAUGAGCAUGGUCUUGCCUGGUGUUGUUGUAUUCAAGUUGUUUAUAAAGCUACAAAUUGGUGUCACGACCACUUAUUUAGUGUUAACUACUUAACUGUGACCCAAAUGUUAAGAAAGCAUGGUGUUGUUGGCAAGUUUGUUGAGUUCUACGGUAAUGUCUAUGUAGCCAGCAAUCAGAUCAUCUGUAAGUUAGUCGUUUCUUUAACUGUGUUUAACAUCACUAUUGAUUGACUUGAUUCCUUUUCUCUUAUCUAUGCUGUGGGUUGUACAUACAGUUAAGGGUAUGAGUGAACAAUCAUUGACUGAUAGAGCAACUAUUGCAAAUAUUUCACCCAGGGUACGGUGCAACCAUGGGCUUCUUCCCUGUAGACCAUGUCACCCUAGAGUACCUUAAGUUAACAAGAAGUGAUGAUAGUGUAAGUAAAUAAAAUUCAGAUGAAAUUAAAAGUUAUUGAUGGAUUGU
rnacentral:lncRNA from 1 species